AGCGAACGCUGGCGGCAGGCUUAACACAUGCAAGUCGAGCGGGCAUAGCAAUAUGUCAGCGGCAGACGGGUGAGUAACGCGUGGGAACGUACCUUUUGGUUCGGAACAACUGAGGGAAACUUCAGCUAAUACCGGAUAAGCCCUUACGGGGAAAGAUUUAUCGCCGAAAGAUCGGCCCGCGUCUGAUUAACUAGUUGGUGAGGUAAUGGCUCACCAAGGCGACGAUCAGUAGCUGGUCUGAGAGGAUGAUCAGCCACAUUGGGACUGAGACACGGCCCAAACUCCUACGGGAGGCAGCAGUGGGGAAUAUUGGACAAUGGGCGCAAGCCUGAUCCAGCCAUGCCGCGUGAGUGAUGAAGGCCCUAGGGUUGUAAAGCUCUUUUGUGCGGGAAGAUAAUGACGGUACCGCAAGAAUAAGCCCCGGCUAACUUCGUG
rnacentral:rRNA from 1 species